rnacentral:rRNA from 1 species
UACGUAGGGUGCGAGCGUUAAUCGGAAUUACUGGGCGUAAAGCGUGCGCAGGCGGUUUGUGAUGUCUGGUGUGAAAGCCCCGGGCUUAACCUGGGAAUUGCAUUGGAAACUAGCGGGCUGGAGUGUGGCAGAGGGGGGUGGAAUUCCACGUGUAGCAGUGAAAUGCGUAGAGAUGUGGAGGAACACCGAUGGCGAAGGCAGCCUCCUGGGCCAGCACUGACGCUCAUGCACGAAAGCGUGGGGAGCAAGCAGG